GCAAAGGGUUACCCACAGGCUCAAAUGCAAGAUGCGGAACUGUGAAAAAAAUACAAGUUAGCUACAAAAGAUGGAAACGAUGCGCUAACAAAUACACCAAUCUUGUUUAGUACAAAUUGGGAUGCAUGUGAUUCCAAAACUAUGAAUGAUCAAGUUGAUGCCAGCAAUGAAAGUGACAUGGGAAAUUCAAUGGAUGAAUUUUAUGGUAUGUAAAAUGUAUUUAUUUCAUCUUUAAUUCAUCUACUGUGCUGGCCGAUUGGUUGUAUAUUUUCAAACACUACAAAUGGUGUAGAUGAAUUAAUAGGUAAUAAAAAUCUAGAAAGUGAAGAAGUGUAGGGCAACCAUGGCGUUGCAAGGAG